AAUAGAUACCCCGGUAGUCCACGCCGUAAACGGUGGGCACUAGGUGUGGGCAACAUUCCACGUUGUCCGUGCCGCAGCUAACGCAUUAAGUGCCCCGCCUGGGGAGUACGGCCGCAAGGCUAAAACUCAAAGGAAUUGACGGGGGGCCCGCACAAGCGGCGGAGCAUGUGGCUUAAUUCGACGCAACGCGAAGAACCUUACCAAGGCUUGACAUACACCGGAAACGUCUGGAGACAGGCGCCCCCUUGUGGUCGGUGUACAGGUGGUGCAUGGCUGUCGUCAGCUCGUGUCGUGAGAUGUUGGGUUAAGUCCCGCAACGAGCGCAACCCUUGUCCCGUGUUGCCAGCAGGCCCUUGUGGUGCUGGGGACUCACGGGAGACCGCCGGGGUCAACUCGGAGGAAGGUGGGGACGACGUCAAGUCAUCAUGCCCCUUAUGUCUUGGGCUGCACACGUGCUACAAUGGCCGGUACAAUGAGCUGCGAUACCGCGAGGUGGAGCGAAUCUCAAAAAGCCGGUCUCAGUUCGGAUUGGGGU
rnacentral:rRNA from 1 species